ACAGAGAAACAGAAUCCUUUUAUCUGAACCAGCUAUCUUGCCUCCCAGUGCCUUCACAACAAGCUGGAUGUACUCAGGAUGCGCCUUAUAUAUAACUCCAGUAAUGAGAUUGCCAUCAGAAACACAAUCCAUCAUGGUUUUGGGUUCAAUCCAAAGAGCACCGGCAUCGAUGAGAACAGGUCCCAGAGCAUGGUAUGCAGUGCACUUCCGGCCUUUUAAUAAGCCUGCAGCUGCCAAGAUCAAUGGCCCAUGGCAAAUAGCAGCAAUCAGCUUUCCUGAAUCGGAAAAUUGCCUCGCACAAUUUAACACAGAUUCAUUUAUGGCAAGAUAUUCUGGAGCCCUUCCUCCUGGUAUAACAAGCGCAUCAUAUUUGCUGAAAUCAACUUCAUCGAAAGUUGCAUUGAGACUAAAGUUGUGCCCAGGCUUCUCAGUAUAAGUCUACAGCAAGUAAAGUUCGAACAAACACAUCAGAACUAAGGUAAUGAAUGGCCACAUUAAGGAUGUACUUUAUUUGAUCAGUUGGGCUACACCCACCAAGUUUAUCAGAAGUUCAAAACACGGUUUUUAUCAAAAAGGGAGCUCGCUAGACACAUUAUGAAUGUUAAACGAUCAUGGAAUCAUUAUCACUAUCAGUCUCACCACAACCACAACCACUAUCAUCACCAAGAUCAUCACUAUUACAUCCUCUACUACCAUCGGAGCCAGCAUUAACACCAAUAUUACUACCUCCACCUCCACCUCCACCUCCAGCAUCCAUAUCACAUGACAAGCAAUUAAUCAGAAAAACACUCUAAUUAGUUUCAGAAAAAUCAAAAUCUUAGAUUUGAAAUCUUCUUUAAUCCAAGAAGAUUUGUCUAACAUCAUGGGUUUUGUGCACUAAUAUCUAGAGACUGACAUACUCACAUGCCCUGUACAAUAAUUUGCACAUCCAUACAAGACAUAGAUGGGGGUGUUACAAAGAAAUAUGUAUUGCCAAGCAAACAAUGAUUUCGUUAACAAUCAUGAAAUGGAUAUUCAUAUAAUAACAAAUUAAUAAAUACAAGGAAGGGGGGGGGACCUGAUAUCCAUGAUAGGCACCAGAGUCCUCAACUGUAGUGCGGCAAUAAUCACCAGCUUUCUUUCCAGGACAAACAGCAUCAACUGCUAUUCCAUAAGCCUGCAAGGCUUGAAAUGGAACCAUAGCCUGCAAAAACAAUAACAAAACCCCAUCACUUAAAGAAGAAAAACAACUUCAGAUAGAUAAAAACGAAAGCAACCCACCUCAUAAUCUUCCAUGUAAUCCCCACAUAACAAUAGAACUUUCUUCUGUGGCUUGCAAUUAGCCAUUGCUGAUGCUAACAAUGACGCUUGAGAUUUAGCUCUCUGUGUAUUGCUAUUUGAGUGAUUAUAAAUUUAUAAGUGCAGGAGAAACGUUUUGUUCUUUAACUCUCUUUGUUAAUGUUGACUCGAUCUCGAUGCACAUUCUGACGAAUAAAAUAAAGAAAAUGGGAGGUUUGUUAUUUACGUAAACGACUUAAGUUCGGUUUCACACUAUUCAUAUAAAAACAUCGAGAAAAAAAGUUAAUAAAUAUAUAUUUUUUAAUUGUUGUGCUUAGCUCAAUUGGUUUGUGGACGUGUCUUAGUCGAAGUUCCUGUUACAUGGAGAUUUGACCACCAAUUAUGCUAGCCGCCUCUCCUCACCUAUCUUGUCUUAACUUCAGACGCGGAGUUUUGAAAAUGUUUGUUCAAUUAAUACAUACUAUAUAAUUUUUAUUGUAAAUUUUUUAUUAAAAUAUUUUUUAUUUAAAAAUAUAUUAAAAUAAUAUAUUUUUUAUUUUUAUACCAACAUAGAUAAAAAAUAUUAAAAAUAAUUUUUUUAAAAAAUAUUAUUUUGAUGUAUUUUUAAAUAAAAAAUACUCUAAAUCACAAAUGUUCCUAAACAUACAGUUAAAGAUUAUGAUGCUCCGAGCAACUAGAACAUCUUUGCAGGCAAUUUCAAGGCCAUAGUUUUGGCAAACAUUAGUACUCUAUUUCUUGCAAUCAGAUUUUCCUGCUUUUGAGUUCUCCGAGGUAUCUCUACUCAUAUGGUGUCCUAAGAUUGCUUGACUUCAUUUUGGCUUCCACUGCCUAAAUUUGGAUCUGAUUCUUGCUAUUGUGAUGAUUUUGGUCUGUUGCUGCUCUAAUUGCUUUGUGGGGUUUAAUACCGAACUCAUUUUUUAGAUUCAAGAUUUCCUCCAGUAUUAGUUGUUUGAUCCUUGCCAGUUCAAUUUGAAGCUCCUCUUCAUGUAUGCACUGCACUUUGGUGUCGGUCUGAAUGGACAACAUAAACUGACCACUGCAGAUGUUGCGCUAAAAUUAUAGUUGAUCGCUACUGUUCACUCUAAAAUUUGUCGUCUGUAAAGCCAUAUCAUUCUGAAAACUUGUCGAAGACACUAUUUCUUGAUGAUGAAUGAUGGAAUGAUUGAAUUGUCUCGUAUAUACAACAAGAUUCAUCUAAGAAAUCGGCAAGAAAUUCCCAUUCACGGAAAUUCAUAUGGGGAAAGUGAAUAAAAUCUUGGUCUCUCUUUCUGUUAUUUUCUUUUAGAAAAAUUCAUUAGGUUGCUUGCUUGCUGCAGUUGAAUGCUUGAUUUUCCAAAUGAACACCUUCUCUGUUAAUCUCCUAUAUCUUCGAAAUAAUCCUUUUCUUUGAAGAGCUCAAUCAUACAUCAUUAAUCAUCGUGCUAUUUCUUUACAGCCCCCUGCUCUAAAACGUUCCUUAUGCAUCCUAUAUUGCGCUUGCGCUCCUUCCUUUUCUUCUUGGCCACUAUAUUUUUCUUUUUGGCCAUAUCCACACCUCUAGAUCGCCAUGGCAACGAGAUAUUCAAAGAACAUAGCCACCUGUUCAGCUGCGGAUCAAUGCAAGACUUGUCAUAUCCUUUCUGGGCCAACAACCGAAGCCUGGACUGUGGACGUCAAGGAUUCAAGAUUUAGUGCCAAAACAAUAACACUGUUAUAGACACUACUAAAAAAUAAAUCUAUUAACAACUAACUAUUCCAUUACAGAUAAUAUUAAAAUAUGUUGUUGAUAAAAUUCAGCAACAGAAUUAGCAAUAGAUAAUUUCAGAUGCAAAUAAUAAAUGUUAAUUUUUUAACAACAGAUUAUCAGUUGCUAAUUUGUUUAGCAACAAAUUAUCCAUUGCUGAAAUUCGGUUACUGAAUGUGUAAAUUAGCAACGGAUAUUCCAUUGUUAAUGAACGUUGCUGAUCAGCAACGGAUAUUCUGUUGCUGAUCCGUUGCUAAUUAACAAUAGAAAUUUUGUUGCCAAUCCGUUGUUGAUUUAACAUGAAUUUUUUAAAUUAUUUUUUUCAUUUAUUGAAUUUUUUAAUUAUUUGUGGCUAUUUCAAAAAUUAUAGAUAAAUAUACAAAGAACAUAAAUUAAUAAUAUAAAUUAUUUUAUAAAAAAUAAUAAGUCAAAUAAAAUAAAUUUCACAAUAAAUUUUUAAAUCUCUUCAAACUUACAUCAAAAUAGAUAAGUCACAAUUUAAUAAAUAUGUUUUAUCAUAAAGGUGGUGGUGGGGGUGGUGUUGGAAACGAACCAAAACAAUGCUGACCAUCAUGAGGUGGGACCGGUAUACGGUGGUUGAGGCCUCGGUCGAUAUACUGGAUUAGACAAGGAAUACAUCUGUGGAGCCAUAUGUGAUGGCAUAGAUGAAGCCAUAAGUGUCAACAUACCUUGGUCCAUAUUUGAUGCCCAAGCUUGGUAUCCCAUAUUACUAAGAAAGUUUUUGAUUGAAGUCAUCUCCUGUUGUGGUGAUAAAAUAUGACCAUCUCUUUUCUUUAUUUGCUCUUUCAAUGCCUGAAUUGAUGGGCUAGGAGGUGUUGACUCCAUCGUAUAGGAUUGUGAUGAAGCACUCGUACUAACCAUGGAUUUCGGCAUAUCAGGUGCACCAUAUAUUCUACCCUUUAUAACUCCUUCUAUAGCCACACACCAAGCUGCUCCAUCAAAUGAAGGAUGAUUUUCCCGAUCAAUUUCAUAUAUUGAAAUCAUCUCUUUUAUGUAAUUCUCCUACAAUAAAAUUAAAUAUAAUAAUAAAUUCAUUUUAAUUUUAAAUAAUAAUUAAAUUACAUAAAAAAAUACUUACAACAACUUUUUUAGACUUGUUAUCUAUGAAGGUUUCAGGCUUCUUGGCAUUCUGAUGCAACACCAAAAACACAUCAUCCAUAAUUUAUCAAAGGGAAAUAUAAUACGUUAUUUUGAUUGUCCAAUGGAUUAGUAAAAUGAUGUAGGCAAAAUAGCUAGCUAAAUAGGAUACACUAAGCAAUUGCUCUGUUUAUUAUUUCUCACCAUAAUUUUUUUUCUUCAACUUUAGUAAUAUAGACUAUUCUAUUGGAAAAAAAAAUAUAAUCGUUUUCAUUGUCAAGUAAUAUUGUAGAAAUAAAGUUUGCAUGCAAACAUAUGCCAUAAUUAUUUUUUUUAACCAACUAUUAAAUAUUUAUUUCAUCAAUAAUUUAUUACUUAAGAUUGUCACAUUAAACAAAGAAAUACCAACAAACUAAAAACACUUUGGAGACAAAUUAUAUCAUUAUUAGCAAACAGAGGCUAAGAUUUAAUUACGAUGCAAUUUUUCUACAAAUCAAGUUAUCUUUCAAAAUUAAUAAAAAGUUUUAAGCUACAUUGACAAACCUGGAGGACCAAUAUGCACAACCCAAAAACUUGACAACUCCAAAUGCAAAUAAGUAAUGUGAUGAUGAUAGGUUCAACAAUCUGAAAUUAAAAAAAUAACAAUAAAUAAGAAUAAUAAUAUUAAAAAAUUAAAAAAGUAAAUUAGCAUGUAAUGAGCAAGAAUAGCAUUGAAUAAUGUUUCCAACCAUUUUAUUUAUGAUUUAUCAGGACUUUAUAAAAUAAAAGUCAUUUAACAAGUUGGAAAAUAAAAUCAUUUAAUAGGCUGGAAAGAGAAUCCCAACACUGCCAUUUCCUUGCCCACCCAAAAAUAAAGUCAGAAAAUAAUCAUUUAACAGGCUGGAAAGAGAAUUGGCAAUCACUGGGGAACGGAAUUGGAGUAGAUUUCAACUCACCUUUCUGCUCAACCUCAGGCUAAAUAACCUGAUAUUGAUGACAGCUGACCCUUCGCAGAAGGAAAUCCUCCAGCAAUUAACGGUACAAAAGUUAGCAUUCGUGGCUAUAGACGGCGAGGCUGAUGAACUUGGACUCACAUUUGUAACACAUACAAUAAUAGUCUUCUGAAGAGUCCCAUAUUAUAUUGAGCAUCCUGACAGAAAACAAGAAAUCUGGAUGAAAAUCAUUUACUUCUAGUUAAAAUAUUCAGAUUGAAUUGAACAUAGCAGACUCUUUCAACACAUGAAGAAAUCGCAUAGUAGCUAAUAUCUUCACAGACUAGUUCAUGAAUUCUGGAUCCAUCCUGCAGGUCAUGUUUUUUUUUUUCAACCAUGAAGAAACAACAUAUUAAAAUGCAUCGUUCUUGUCUCCAUUUGUUUCAGAUAAUGAGUCUCCAUUUGUUUCAAAUAAUGAAAAUCAACGUAACUACGUACUAGUUGUCGUCCUCUGCCAGCAUAAAUGAAAAAUGUAGCACGUUGGAGAAAAAAGACAAGGUUAAAGGAGACAAAGCCAAAGCCAUAUCGAGAAUGAAGGAACUAUUGCGAUGGGCUGCCUCUGCAAAAUCGGAGAAAGCAGGAAAGUAUAUCGGCCGGAAGGUCAAUUUUUUAACAUAUUUGAGUCAUUAAUCUUCUCCCUGAACCGGAAAAUUUAAAAUUUCUCCUCUCUCGGCAUGUUUGGACGUUUGAGUUCAUUAAGUGCGCAUGCAGUAUCGGUAAAGCCUUGGAAAAAAAAAAAAAGCCUUCAAAAAUUAAUUAAAUAAAAAAAAUCAAAUUAACUGAUUAUAAAAUCCAAAAAAACUAUUAUCCAGUUCAAUUUUAAUUUAAAAAACUUGAAAUUGAUUCAGCCAACAUUAAAUCUAAAAUAAAAAAAUAAAAAAAUUAAUAUUUUUAUUAACACAAAAUUAAUCAAACCCACAUUCCCCCAAUCAGCCUUCUUUUGCAUUUAUGCUGCCUAGACAACCUUCCUAAGACACAUUACUAGAGGUGAGCAAAAAAAAUUGAAAAACCGAUUUAACUGAGAAAACAAAAAAAAAUUAACCAAAAAAAUCAAACCGGUAAAAAAAACCGAUUGAACCGGUUAAAAUAUUUAGGAAAAUAUCCGGUUCAGUUUGGUUUUCGGUUUUGGUGUGCCUGAACCGGCCAACCCGAACCGAACCGGUUCGGUUUAAAAAUGAAAAAAAAAACCAAGUCGCGGGCCGCCUCCUCCCUCCUAUUAGUCAACAACCCUAGCAGACCAUUUAUCAUUUCCUUCUCUUUCACACAACCGCCCCCUCCCCUCCCAUUAACUCUUUGAAUGCUUUCACAAUUUGAAGGGUCCCUUUUAUUCACAGCUUCCAGCCUGCCAUGCUCUCUUUGUCUCUCAUCUCUCAACGUAAGGGAAAAGUAAUUGAUUACAGGUUAAGCUUUAAUAUUUCUUUUCAAUAUUUGAGUAAAAUUUGUCUUAUUCUCUUCCAAUCUUCCAUGCUUUCUGUCUCUCAUCUCUCAUCUCUCAAACUUGCCAUCUCAGAUGUGAAUUGUUGAUGAUUCUUCCAUUGAUUUACUUGAUUCUCCUUCAUGGGUCACGACACAAAAAGAUCCCACCUCGAUUGCCUGAGAGGGAUUAUUUUGGGUCUAGAAGCUGAAGAGUGUCCAGAAAAAUCAAAGUAGUGAUUGACUGAUUGCUAAGAACUGAUACUGUUUUUUUGCAAUUAACUUUUCCUUUGCAAGAAGUUGUAACAACGAGAACAACGUUGUUGAUUCUUAGAGGAUGACAUCUUGGAAUUGCAUUUCAGUUUGAAUCGGUUUGGAAGGGAAAAAACCGAACCGAACCAAAAUUAAUCGGUUUGAAUUGGUUUUUGGUUCGGUUCAAAAACUAAAAAAAAAUAUUUUGGUUUGGUUGUUUAUUUUGGUUCAAAACCGGACCGAACCGAAAAUGUUCAGCCCUACACAUUACCCAAACUUUGUAUGGAGAAGUUGGGAAGCUUUGCUAGGAAGCCGGCUAAGACACAUUCCCUACUAUCAUAUAUAGUUUUUACCAUAAAAUUUGCACAAACUCUGCCAUCCUUUCUAAAACACAUUACCCAUAUUUCUCCCCCAAAAAACAACACACAUACACCCAGUAAAACCAAAAAACCCAGAACCCUAUAAAAAGUCUAACUACUUCCAUAUUUAACAAUAAUUAGCAAUAGAUUUACAAAAUUAUUCUGUAAAAUUAGUUAAUAAAACAAUAUAUAUUCUCUCUAAAUUACAAACAUAAUCUUUUAAAUAUGGGUUUUUGAUUAUACCUGCUAUUUUAAUUUUUCACACCAUGUUUGCUCCCUGCAAGAUUGAAUUUUUGGAAGCAUAAAGUAACUGGAGAAGAAGUUAAGAAAACAACAAGUUAUGUUUGUGGAAAAUGACACAUGACAGGGAUAGGUAGAUUUAAAAGGGACAUAUGGGUUUGGCUCCUGGAAAAGGAAUAGAAAGGAAGAGAUAUGGGUUAAUUAGGUUUUUGAAGAAUUAUAGAAAGGGAUACAAUAUUGGGUUCUUUCGAAGAAUGAAGAAAGUUUGCAGCUGUGGGGUUCUCCUUUUGUUGUUUUCAAGUAAUAAAAAAGCAACACGUCAUUAUUAUUAUUAUUAUUUUAUAAAAGUUUACAGCAAUCAUAUUACAAGGGAAAAUAUGUUGUUGAUUCUUAAUAUAUUAAUUUAUUUUUUAGUAUCUAAUUUUUCAUUACUGAAUCCGUUGCUAAUAUUAAAAAAUUAAUAUAUAUUUAAUCCGUUGCUAAUUUAUUACUAAAAUUACAUCUAAAUUAUUCUAAUACUAACAUCCGAUGGUAAUUACCCUCCUUUUUUAAUAGUGAGAGAUCAUGUCACAGAAUUACAGCAUUAAUGUCAAUCGACAAAGAGCUUCCUAUUCGUACAGUAGUCGAAUGGAUAUGAAGGAUGAUGGUUGCCCUGAGGAUCUUUUUAACAUCACCCUCAGCAAUACUCCCUUUGAUUAUGCUCCUUGGAGUAUAAACCCUAGUUUUAUAUACGAUUUGCCCCCUGAAAAGUAGAAUCAAAUACCCAUUACCUCAAAAUGCCCCAUAAAAGUUACGACUGCCGGAGGUUUCUACAGACAAACGGAACCGGCAACCACAUAUUCAAUCAUGUGGUAACAACAUCCUAGUUUCGAUUCUUGCUGCCUUUGAGGAACUUUACAACCCUAAAGCAACAGUAAAGAUAGGUCUUGAAUCGGACUCCAAAGUUGACUGGAAACCUCACUCGUUAUGCACCACAACAAGAGAUGGACAAUGUGGACAUUAUCCGUGUAGUUUUUAAAGUUUACUUUUUGAUCAUAAAACUUCAUUCUUUCACCUUUCAAUCUUUGACUGUUGAGAGAGGAGAGAGGCACUGAAGAUGAAAAUAAAGAGAGAAAGCUUUAUAUCGGUGAUGAAAAUCGAUUGGUGUUAAUGAAUUUUUCUUGAAUAAAUGAGUCUAAUGAAAGUGAUUUAAAUCUUACAAAAAAAACAUAAACAAGGAAAGGAAGUUUUAAUCAAAGAAAAACUUGGCAAAAAUUCACAAUAAAAAUCUAUUUGCUUGAUACUAUGGCCUGUUGAUAUUUUUUUGAAGGAAAAGAAAGAUCUUAUCCAUGCCAAAGAUGCAUGCAUGCAUGGUUCCUGCUUUAUCAUGAAAAUAAUUAGGAUGGUUCUAAUCAACUGAAAACGGGGGCAAAAUUAGGAUUUUGAAAAUUAAGGGUGCCAAAAUGAAAAUAUAUUACAAUACAUUUAAAAAUAAAAUAAACUAGAAAUGAUCACUAUAGAAAAUUACAAUUACAAAAAAAGCCAGUGGUUUUACUGGACAAGAAGUUAUUGUGCACGCUCUGUAUUUUCAUUAUGAAUUACAAAAGUGCCAUUUUUCUUUUUGUAAAACCUAGUUGAAACUUGUCUAGAAAACAUAAUUAAAUGGGCUUAUACAAGUAAGAGGUGAGAAUGAAAGUCUAGUAAAUUAAGUAGGACUAAAUUAGAAACAUGAGGGAUAAUUUUAAAAUUAUUAUAAAGUGAAGGACUAAAAUGCAAAAAAGAAAAGAAAAGAAAGUUUAGCCUCUCUCUUAAAAGAGGGCUGGCGGUGUGAAGAAAAGAAAAACUCCAUCUUAUCAUAUUGAAUGGACUAACCGUUUUUUCCAUGGUUGCUUCUGCUUUUGAAGCAAACCACGGGAAAACAAACGUUUGGUAAUUAAUAAAACUCAAUUUACUGUUCAUGGGUCCUAUUGGUAUUUUCGUUGAAAACGCAGGAUUACUAAAAGCAGCACAAUACUGCUUUCAGUUGUGGAGAGUGUCUCCACUGUUCACGUGAACAGUGGAGCCUAUCUCUAUUGUUCCGGUCGGACCGGGUCUGGUCCAAAGUUAAAUAUAUUGAACCGGGUCCGAUCCAGUAAGAAAAAUUAAAUUAAAAUUUUUUAUUUUUAAUUGUGUUUUAUUCAAAAAACUAGUGUUUAAUAUUAUUCAAUGACACUACAUAAAUUAGACGGAGAUCGCUUGAUUGAUCGCAAUCCCAAUUUUGUUCUUGAUUAUAUUUUACCUUAUGUUGUUGCGUACUUAAGAAACCAAGAAAACUGUAAUCCUUGUUAGAUGUAUUUCAUACGUGAUGAAAUUGUAGAUAGUUUAAUUAAACAAUAAAAAAUAUUUUAUAUAAAGUAUUAUUUAUUUCAUGAUGUAAUAAUAAUAGUUAAAUCUAUAAUAUUUAAAUUAAAAACCAUCAAUAUUAAUCUAUAUUUUUUAAAAUUAUUUUAUAACCUUAAUUUAAAAAACAUUCUUAACUAAAGACAUUAAACUACUUUUUGUAUAACCUCAAUUUCAACCACAGUUUUAACCAAACAUACAUAAAUAUUAAACCAACCGCAACCAAAAGUACUUUUUAUAAAACAACUUUUUCAAACCACAACCAUAAAAGCUACCACAAUAUCAAACACACUUUAUCCAUCAAACUCAACUGAUGCAUUCAGUUUUUGGACUUUAAAAAAAAAUUUUUUAUUUUAAAUUAAUAUUUUUUAAUAUUUUAAUGUGCUAAUAUUAAAAAUAAUUUUUUUAAAAUAAAAUUUUUUUUUAAUAUAUUUUAAAUUUUUGUUUUUUUUUUAAAAAAACUCAAUAUCAUAUUCCAAAACAACCCGCCGUGACACUGCAAAAAAAAACCUUUGUGCCAGCACAAGGUAAACUUCCCAGUAACUAUCAUUUCAAGUGAUGAAAAGGCCGGCUGGUCAAAAAUUGUCUGUGGCAGAAAAGCUCCAAUAAUCAACUCAAACUCACCCUCUCAUAACCUUCAUUAUACUGAUUCCCUCUUCACCCUCCUCCCCCAUAAUUUAUUCACCACCGUGUCUCUUCCUCUAUCUCCUCCACAAAAUCAAGAUUCCUAAAUGAACCAUAACUUCUUUUUAACAUCCUUUUCUUCAAUAAUAAGUCUCUUUGUUGUCUCUUUGUUCCUCCUGGAAAAGAAAGCCUCAUGUACAGACCCUCAGUUCCUAGCUUGCAAUCCCGAAAGCUGUGGCGAUGGCCAAAACAUAAACUUCCCAUUUUACAUCCAGAACAAGCAAGAACCCUCAUGUGGCUACCCUGGAUUCAGUCUCUCUUGCAAUAACAAAGGCAAGCCAGUCCUUAAACUGUCCAAUAAUGAGUAUAUCAUCCACGAAAUCUACUACCAAAACCAGUCUCUUCGUGUCUCAAAUACAGCUGUUUUUGGGAAAAGCACCCCCUGUAUUCCUCAAAUACAAAACAUGUCUCUAGCUGAUGACAGGUUCCAUCUGCCUUCUAACAGAGCAAGCCUCUUCUUGCUUUACAAUUGCAACGCAACACUGCUAGCAAAUGAUAGUGAACUUCUGAAUUACAAGGUUGAUUGUUUUGGGGAGAAUGGAACUGUUUCAACUCUAGCAAUGCUUGAUGAUGAUCCUCUGUUGGGUCCUGCAUCGGACAAGUGUGAAACUGGAGCUGUGGCACCUGUGGAUGUGUAUAGAGGAGAGAAUGUUGGGAGUGAAAGGAUGCUAUUGUUAGAAAGAGGGUUUGUGUUGAAUUGGAUAGCAAGUAAUUGUAGCAUCUGUGAAGGGAGUGGUGGCAAGUGUGGAUUUGAUAACGCCACAUACCAUUUCAAAUGUUUCUGUCCUGAUAGACCUCAUUCUCGGUCUUGUACUUCCGGUGAGUCAUUUUAAUUUUUUCUUUUUUCCUGUCUUGAAAUUUUGUUAAUGUUAUUUUAUGGCAUAGAGCCAUUGCCCACUUGUUUGCCUUGGCUAAAAAGUUGCUAGUUGUGUGUUACGCUGGGAUACUCUCUUCCUUCCACUGUCUAGAAGAGGUAAAAAACUCUCUUCCUUCCACUGUCUAGAAGAGGUCCAUCUUGCUAGGCUAGCAAAGUCUUGGAUGAACAGUGGCACACACCACUAACAAACUGGCAGUAGGUACUGGGUGGUUUAGGCGAAGAGUCUUCGAUGAAAAAUGGGGAGAUAGCUACUUUCAUGCAUGUAUAUAAACUUGAUUUUUUAAUAUUUAUACAAUUUGAUUUGUAUCAUUUUCUGAAUGAUUCUUCAGGAAUAGAACUGGUUCUGUUUCAAUGAAUUUAGAUCAGGAAAUUAACCUGCAGCUGCCUGUUUUUUCUUCUGCAUUGGUUCAGCUCUUAUUAUUCGAACAUAACAUUAUGUUCUGUCAACUAUGAUGCAGGGAAUGGCAAUAUGGGACGAAAGCUUAUAAUAGGUAACAGAAUAAUUUAUCAUUUUUAUGUUUUAUAUGUUCCUUCACAAUCUUCACUUGAAUUCGACUGUCGUAUGCUUUUCUCCAUGCCUGUCCAUCAUCAAGGUGUAGGAACAGGAGGCCAAGCUAUAAUGAUAAUUCUGUUGCCAUUAUGCAUUUCCCUUUUCUGAUUAAAAGUAGAGGUCUCUCUUUCAGUGAACUUGAACAAGCCAACCAUCGUUUUCAUCCCUCGCAUUAUUUUCUUCAACCAAAAAACCUGACCAAGACGGACACUAUAUCUCCCAACUGAAACUGUUCUCCUCCUUCUCCAAUCUUUUAAACAAGCGUAGUACAAAGUGUUUAGCAGUACAUGUGCAUACAAGGCAUGCUUUACCAAACUUUCCUUCACUGUGAGAGGUUGAAACCUCUUCAAAAAUAGUUUAAAUGACUCAUUCUUAGACUGCAUUAUUUUCCUUCCUCAUCACCUUUCUUUACUGCAGCUGCCUCAGCUGCCGGCGUUGGAGUUCUAAUAAUUACAAUCUGCUGCGUCAUCAUCAGAAUGUUCUUACCCGUCAACUUCCUUUCCAGUUUGAGAAAAACCAGAGGAAGUCGAAGUAUAGAGGUUUUUCUGAGGAACUAUGGAACCUUGGCACCAAAAAGAUACAGUUAUUCAGAACUUAAGAAAAUGACCAAAACCUUCAAAGAGAAACUAGGCCAAGGAGGCUACGGAAGUGUUUUCAAAGGCAAUUUACCUGAUGGUCGUCUUGUUGGAGUUCUAAUAAUUACCACCUUUCAAGCAUCAGCCAGACUUCCCACGUCAACAUUGUUACUCUUCUGGGGUUCUGUUUUGCGGGUUCCAAACGAGCUCUAAUCUACGAGUUCAUGUCUAAUGGGUCACUUGACAAGCACAUAUAUGAAGAAAAUCUCUCGAAGGCAGAUCGCCAAUUGGGGUGGGAAACACUAUACCAAAUUGCAGUUGGCAUUGCUCGGGGAUUAGAAUACUUGCACAGAGGUUGCAACACAAGGAUUUUACAUUUCGACAUCAAGCCUAAUAAUAUUCUUCUAGAUGAAAACUUCUGUCCAAAAAUUUCUGAUUUCGGCCUGGCUAAAAUAUGCCCCAGAAAAGAGAGUAUCGUAUCGAUGACGGGUGCAAGAGGAACUAUUGGAUACAUUGCCCCCGAAGUAUUUUGUCGAAAUUUUGGAGGGGUCUCUCACAAAUCUGAUGUUUAUAGCUACGGGAUGCUAGUAUUAGAAAUGAUUGGAGGGAGAAAAAACUUCUGCGUCGGAGCUGGUAAUACCAGUGAGAUCUAUUUUCCAUAUUUGAUAUACAAGCGUCUUGAACUAGGUGAAGAACUUGGACUUCGAGGGACGGGCAAUAAAGUGGAAGAGCAAAUUGCAAGAAAAAUGAUUUCGGCAAGCUUGUGGUGCAUACAAACUGAUCCCUCAAAUCGGCCACCCAUGUCUCGAGUGGUAGAAAUGCUGCAAGGAAGCCUCGAGUCCUUGCCAAUCCCACCGAGACCGAUCUUGUCUUCCCCUCCAAGAUCUCCUCGUGGAUCAAUUUCAGAUUUCUCGAGCACCGCUAUCAUAAUCCAUGACCUUUAAGUUUUAAAUACGCAUCGCGUCUUCCUUGCACCAGGCCUGAUCUUUUUUGUGCUCGGAACCAUGCCCAGCUAACAACUUUCUCUCUUCUUUGCUAUUUACUAGCAACUCUUUCUCUUCUCUCAAACUAGGGGUCAAAAUGGGAACAAAAUAAAGUCUUGGACCAAAAGGAAACUUUGACAAAAAAAGCAGAGGGACUGUUGUUUUCCCUAUAUCAGAGCUACCAUUUUGAUUGUUAUUCAAUAUUGGUACCCUAGCUUCUAAUCCAAUUAGAACCAUAAAAUUAAUUUGAUUUCCGCAAUAUCAAGUCCGAACCUAAAGUUGAAAUGCCUUGUCAAGACCACGGUAGCCUAACAGAAGGCAAGCAAGAUCAAAUUAGAACACAAUUACCUAAAUUUACCCUUUUUAUUUUUCUUCCUAAAGCAUUUUUAAAAAAAAUUAAUUUUUUAUUUUAUUUCUUUUUUAUUUUAAAUUAAUAUUUUUUUAGUAUUUUUAGAUCAUUUUAAUACGCUGAUUUCAAAAAUAAUUUUAAAAAAUAAAAAAACAUUAUUUUAAUACAUUUUUAAAUGAAAAAUAUUUUGAAAAGGAACCGUAACCAAUUAUAAAAAAACUCAAUUAAAUAAGAAAAACCUCGAAACAAAAUUUAGAAGGGCAGAAAAAUAAAAAUACUCUGAAAUCUUUGAGGGAGUUUUGUAACAUUUAAAAAACACUAGCACUUAUAGAUGCAGAAAUAUUCCAUUUUAUUUCCAAUUGACUUGAAAAUCUUUCAAAGACGCCGGCUGUUGUUUGUGAAGUUCCAACGUGAGCCAUGGACGUUAAAUGUAGUGGUGGAUGGGAGUUGUUCCUCCCUUGCCCCUGCUACAUAUUUAUAGGAUUUGGUACGGGUUCACGUAUUUUCAUAUAUAUAUUUUUAAUUAGAAUAUAGUAUUUAAUAGUUUAUACUCAAUAAAAAAUAAAAUACAAUGCCAAAUGAGGCCAUCUACUUGAGCAUUAAAGCAGGGUCAUCGAGGGCUUUGAAUCCGGAUGUUAUUUGAUAGACAUACAUGAACAGGUAAGUAUUAUUGCAACAGCACAGCUAGAAUGACACUCGGAUACCAAGUAAGGCCAUCAGCUGAGACACAAACUGAGGGUGCCCUGGCCAUGCGGCUCCGGUAACCAAGUUUUCGUCGGUGUAGCAACGAUCGAUUGGAUCCGGUUCUAGCCAUGUUGCCCCUCCCAAGACGACGUUCAGCUUCACAGCAGGGUAUGCGGUGCACUUUCUUCCCUGCAGCAACAUGAUUCACAUAUACAAGAAUAAGGAUGGCAAGUGUGAAGAAAAUGAUUACUUCUGUGAUUCUAUGAAGGGGAAAGAAAACAUUGGAUACUACCUUGAGAACUCCCGCAGCAGCUAGGAUCUGCUGUCCGUGACAAAUAGAGGCAACUGGCUUCUUUGAUUGCAUGAAUUUCUUCACCAAGGCAAUCACUGUCUCAUCCAGUGCCAAAUAUUCUGGAGACCGGCCUCCAGGGAUGACGAGAGCGUCGUAACUCGAGGCAUCCAAGCCUUCAUAGGAAGCUGUUAGAAUGAAAUUAUGGCCUGGCUUCUCAGUGUAUGUUUGGUCACCUUCAAAGUCAUGGACUGCAGUCGGGCAGAAAUCCCCAGCCUUCUUCUUGGGGCAAACUGCAUCAACGUGGCACCCAAGAGCUUGAAGGGAUUGAAGAGGAACAGUAACCUCAUAAUCUUCCAUGAAAUCCUGAAAGCAAGAAUAAGAGAAUAAAUACUUCUUAGUAAACAAGAAAAAACACUUGUUUCUUCGAGCUUGAUGAUAGUAACCAGAGUCAAAUAAUUUUUGUAUUAGAACUUACCCCACAGAGAAACAGAAUCCUUUUAUCUGAACCAGCUAUCUUGUCUCCCAGUGCCUUCACAACAAGCUGGAUGUACUCAGGAUGCGCCUUAUAUAUAACUCCAGUAAUGAGAUUGCCAUCAGAAACACAAUCCAUCAUGGUUUUAGGUUCAAUCCAAUGAGCACCGGCAUCGAUGAGAACAGGUCUCAGAGCAUGGUAUGCAGUGCACUUCCGGCCUUUUAAUAAGCCUGCAGCUGCCAAGAUCAAUGGCCCAUGGCAAAUAGCAGCAAUCAGCUUUCCUGAAU
rnacentral:lncRNA from 1 species